AGAGCAUUUCCUCACAACCAAUCCAUACUAUGACUCGCGCGUUGUGGGUAAGUAUUGUGAGAAGUGCGAUCCUACCCUUGCUGUUGUUGCAUAUAGGAGAGGGCAAUGUGAUGAUGAACUCAUUAAUGUGACAAACAAGAAAUAUUGUGAGAAGCGCGAUCCUACCCUUGCUGUUGUUGCAUAUAGGAGAGGGCAAUGUGAUGAUGAACUCAUUAUUGUGACAAACAAGAACUCUUUGUUCAAACUUCAGGCGAGGUUAGUCACUCGUUAGGUUUGCGAUAUUUGCUGGUUUAUCAGAAGUCUAUUUGUGAGUAAACCAUCAAAUUAUAAUGUUUUCAGGUAUGUGGUUGAGAGGAUGGAUGGUGAUCUUUGGGAGAAAGUUCUCAAUCCCGAAAAUGAGUUUAGAAGGCAACUUAUUGAUCAAGUUGUUUCCACUGCUCUGCCUGAAAGCAAGAGCCCUGAGCAAGUUUCUGCUGCUGUUAAAGCUUUCAUGACUGCUGAUCUUCCUCAUGAACUGAUUGAGCUUCUUGAA
rnacentral:lncRNA from 1 species